rnacentral:tRNA from 1 species
UAUCGCAUAGACUAAUGGCUAAGACGUCUGAUAUCAGGUCGGAAGACCCAGGUUCGAUUCCUGGUGCGAUAG